UACGUAGGGUGCAAGCGUUAAUCGGAAUUACUGGGCGUAAAGCGUGCGCAGGCGGUUUUGUAAGUCUGUUGUGAAAUCCCCGGGCUCAACCUGGGAAUUGCGAUGGAGACUGCAAAGCUAGAAUCUGGAAGAGGUGGGUAGAAUUCCACGUGUAGCAGUGAAAUGCGUAGAGAUGUGGAGGAACACCGAUGGCGAAGGCAGCCCCCUGGGUCAAGACUGACGCUCAUGCACGAAAGCGUGGGGAGCAAACGGG
rnacentral:rRNA from 1 species